rnacentral:tRNA from 1 species
GGGGAUGUAGCUCAGAUGGUAGAGCACUCGCUUAGCAUGCGAGAGGUACAGGGAUCGAUACCCCGCAUCUCCA